rnacentral:rRNA from 1 species
CGAUGAAGAACGCAGCGAAAUGCGAUACGUAGUGUGAAUUGCAGAAUUCCGUGAACCAUCGAAUCUUUGAACGCAAAUUGCGCUCGAGGCUUCGGCCAAGAGCAUGUCUGCCUCAGCGUCGGCU